UACGGAGGGGACUAGCGUUGUUCGGAAUUACUGGCGUAAAGCGCACGUAGGCGGAUUUGUAAGUCAGGGGUGAAAUCCCGGGGCUCAACCUCGGAACUGCCUUUGAUACUGCAAAUCUCGAGUCCGGAAGAGGUGAGUGGAAUUCCUAGUGUAGAGGUGAAAUUCGUAGAUAUUAGGAAGAACACCAGUGGCGAAGGCGGCUCACUGGUCCGGUACUGACGCUGAGGUGGCGAAAGCGUGGGGAGCAAACAGG
rnacentral:rRNA from 1 species